GCCUAAUAACGCUCUCCGGGGUUUGCGGCACUGGCGAAGCUAAGAGGGACCUGAGCGGUGCAAGCCGGCACAGGGCAAUGCCAAUCUGCGACAGGCUCUGGGGACAGGGUUCAGACAGCAAAUACGAGCGGUUUUCCUGGAGACCCCACUGAGACACGAUCUGCUCUGUCCAUCACCAUGGACCCUAGCCUUCAGCCGGAUGAGGUUCUCCCAGAUACCCUAAUGCCGCCCUGCUCGUGGCUGUCAAGUCUGUGUCAACAUGGGCCACCCAAGACAGACGGGUCAUGGUAGAGAGUUCUGACAAAACGUGGUCCACUGGAGAAGGAAAUGGCAAAUCACUUCAGCGUUCUUGCCUUGAGAAGCCCGUGAACAAUAUGAAAAGGUCCCAAAUAGACACAUGGAAAGCAAUUCAGCACAACCUCCAACAAAGAGGAACUACUGCAAACGAAUUCACAAGUAUCACACACUCUCCUCCUUUGCUUCAAAAAUACACAGUCUGUCUUCUGGGGACAGGUUCUGGCAGUGUAUAAGAAAUACAGGUGUUUAUCGUGGUAUGCUCAUUCCAUUUCCACAAGAAAGAAAAAAUUAUAGAUUAAGAGAGUCAUCAGCCCAGCAACAUAAUAUCCUUUGAAACAAGUGCUAGGUAUUCCAUUGCCUAGUAGAAAUUAUAUCAGAACUCAUUUCCUACUGAUAGAUAUUUUUGGUUAUCUCCAAAUUUAUUAAACAAUAUA